AUCUUUUUCUGGUGCAUAAGCAUAAUGAUUGGGUACUCACAAGUUUGUGUGAUAUGUGCUGCCCUUAAACCUUGUUACAACAUCAGCAUAUAACCCUUCUGAAA